rnacentral:rRNA from 1 species
CCUACGGGUGGCUGCAGUGGGGGAUAUUGCACAAUGGGGGAAACCCUGAUGCAGCGACGCCGCGUGGGCGAAGAAGUAUUUCGGUAUGUAAAGCCCUAUCAGCAGGGAAGUAGAAAUGACGGUACCUGAGUAAGAAGCACCGGCUAAAUACGUGCCAGCAGCCGCGGUAAUACGUAUGGUGCAAGCGUUAUCCGGAUUUACUGGGUGUAAAGGGCGUGUAGGCGGGACUGCAAGUCAGAUGUGAAAAUUAUGGGCUCAACCCAUAAACUGCAUUUGAAACUGUAGUUCUUGAGUGUUGGAGAGGUAGGCGGAAUUCCGUGUGUAGCGGUGAAAUGCGUAGAUAUACGGAGGAACACCAGUGGCGAAGGCGGCCUGCUAAACAUUAACUGACGCUGAGGCGCGAAAGCGUGGGGAGCAAACAGGAUUAGAUACCCGAGUAGUC